UGCAAGUCGAGCGGACAGAAGGGAGCUUGCUCCCGGAUGUUAGCGGCGGACGGGUGAGUAACACGUGGGUAACCUGCCUGUAAGACUGGGAUAACUCCGGGAAACCGGAGCUAAUACCGGAUAGUUCCUUGAACCGCAUGGUUCAAGGAUGAAAGACGGUUUCGGCUGUCACUUACAGAUGGACCCGCGGCGCAUUAGCUAGUUGGUGGGGUAAUGGCUCACCAAGGCGACGAUGCGUAGCCGACCUGAGAGGGUGAUCGGCCACACUGGGACUGAGACACGGCCCAGACUCCUACGGGAGGCAGCAGUAGGGAAUCUUCCGCAAUGGACGAAAGUCUGACGGAGCAACGCCGCGUGAGUGAUGAAGGUUUUCGGAUCGUAAAGCUCUGUUGUUAGGGAAGAACAAGUGCGAGAGUAACUGCUCGCACCUUGACGGUACCUAACCAGAAAGCCACGGCUAACUACGUGCCAGCAGCCGCGGUAAUACGUAGGUGGCAAGCGUUGUCCGGAAUUAUUGGGCGUAAAGGGCUCGCAGGCGGUUUCUUAAGUCUGAUGUGAAAGCCCCCGGCUCAACCGGGGAGGGUCAUUGGAAACUGGGAAACUUGAGUGCAGAAGAGGAGAGUGGAAUUCCACGUGUAGCGGUGAAAUGCGUAGAGAUGUGGAGGAACACCAGUGGCGAAGGCGACUCUCUGGUCUGUAACUGACGCUGAGGAGCGAAAGCGUGGGGAGCGAACAGGAUUAGAUACCCUGGUAGUCCACGCCCGUAAACGAUGAGUGCUAAGUGUUAAGGGGUUUCCGCCCCCUUAAUGCUGCAGCUAACGCAUUAAGCACUCCGCCUGGGGAGUACGGUCGCAGACUGAAACUCAAGAAAUUGAACGGGGGCCGCACAAGCU
rnacentral:rRNA from 1 species